rnacentral:rRNA from 1 species
UGCCAGCCGCCGCGGUAACACGGGGGGCGCAAGCGUUAUUCGGAAUUAUUGGGCGUAAAGGGCGCGCAGGCGGUCUUGUCAGUCAGGUGUGAAAGCCCGGGGCUCAACCGGGGAAGUGCCUCCAAAACUGUUUUGCUUGAGUGUGGGAGAGGAAGGCAGAAUUCCUGGUGUAGCGGUGAAAUGCGUAGAUAUCAGGAGGAAUACCGGCGGCGAAGGCGGCCUUCUGGACCAACACUGACGCUAAAGCGCGAAGGCCAGGGGAGCGAACGGGAUUAGAUA